UUUAAAGAUCGGAUACUCGCUUCCUUUUAGGGAGAGGAAAGUCCGGACACCCCUAGUUUUUUAACUAGGACAAGAGUAGUUAGUGCAAACUAACCGGGAGAAAUCCUAGGGAAAGUGCAACAGAAAGAAAACCGCCUACUUCGGUAGGUAAGGGUGAAAAGGUGUGGUAAGAGCACACCGGUUAAAUAGUGAUGUUUAACGCAUAGGCAAACCCUGCUCGGUGCAACUCAAACAGUUCACUGCUAUUUCGAAAAGUAGUGAGUGGGUAGAGGCAAAGAUAGAUGAGUAUCGAUAACAGAAUCCGGCUUAUAGAUCUUAGAAAGGU
rnacentral:RNase_P_RNA from 1 species